rnacentral:tRNA from 1 species
UGGGGCGUAGCCAAGCGGUAAGGCAGCGGGCUUUGAUCCCGCCAUUCGCAGGUUCGAAUCCUGCCGCCCCAGCCA